UUUACUUCCACCGUCUCUCCAUCAAACCCAAACUCCACAUGGGACCCAAGGCUCUUUGUGACCUGGCGCAGUGCACCCAGGCCAGCUUUCUCCCCUGCUCCUUAGGUCCCCGCUUUACCGAAUUACACGGAGUGGAGGACUCAAAAUUUUGAGGACUCAAAAUUGUGCUCGCCUCACAAUUUUGUACGUGUUGCUCCACCAGCUCCCAUUGUCCCCCUCCCUCCUCAUCAGCCUCUCACCCCUGCACACAUUCUCUCUUUCGGUCUGGUCACAAGGCACAGCAGCUCCCAGGAACGUCACAGAGGCUACGGGACUAGAGAGAGCUGUGACUAUUCAACCAAUUCCAGAAAAUUCUCUCCUCCAGACUGUAUCUCCAUGUAGUUCCUUCAAAUCCAUUCUGUUCAGCCCUCUGAUGUACAAGGUAUGUAUAGGGGAUAACACUUUCCUAUCUAAAACCUAUUUUUCCCCAAAAGGGGAGAAUUGAUUUUCUCACAUAUUGCCUAACCACCUCUCAUUAGAAAAUUUUUGUCAGACAUUGAACAAUGCCGAAUGUCAGCCCAUGACACUGGUCCCAUUGGCAGAGUACCAAGGCUUAUCCAACUACUCAUCCAUAGGACGUACUGACAUCCUGUUCUUGUUGCUCUCCCUAUGGCGCCCAUGAGUUGGAAUAUGCAUUACAUUCAUUUUUCCAAUUCCCAAUGUUGGAUUCAUCACUAUGACUUUUUAAAGACCAAUUUCAUGAAGUUAUGUUUUACAUACAAAUAUGUGUUACUGGUCUAACCAUCGUCCCAAUUAAGGUAUGGAACAUUUGCAUUACUGUGAAAAGUCCCCCCUGCCUUCUGCAAUGAGUCCUUCACCACCCUCCACCCCAAGCCACCACUGAGCUGCUUUCUGUCCCUCUAAAUUACUUUGUCUUUUCUAAAAUUUCAUAUGAAUGGAAUUGUAUCUUAUAUACCCUUUUGUGGCUGCCUCCCCUUUUUUAAACUCAGCAUAAUGUUUUUGAGACUCACUCGUGUUUUUGCUUAUAUCAGC
rnacentral:lncRNA from 12 species